rnacentral:rRNA from 1 species
ACACAUGCAAGUCGAACGAAGGCUUCGGCCUUAGUGGCGCACGGGUGCGUAACGCGUGGGAAUCUGCCCCUUGGUUCGGAAUAACAGUUGGAAACGACUGCUAAUACCGGAUGACGACGUAAGUCCAAAGAUUUAUCGCCGAGGGAUGAGCCCGCGUAGGAUUAGCUAGUUGGUGUGGUAAAGGCGCACCAAGGCGACGAUCCUUAGCUGGUCUGAGAGGAUGAUCAGCCACACUGGGACUGAGACACGGCCCAGACUCCUACGGGAGGCAGCAGUGGGGAAUAUUGGACAAUGGGCGAAAGCCUGAUCCAGCAAUGCCGCGUGAGUGAUGAAGGCCUUAGGGUUGUAAAGCUCUUUUACCCGGGAUGAUAAUGACAGUACCGGGAGAAUAAGCUCCGGCUAACUCCGUGCCAGCAGCCGCGGUAAUACGGAGGGAGCUAGCGUUAUUCGGAAUUACUGGGCGUAAAGCGCACGUAGGCGGCUUUGUAAGUUAGAGGUGAAAGCCUGGAGCUCAACUCCAGAAUUGCCUUUAAGACUGCAUCGCUUGAAUCCAGGAGAGGUGAGUGGAAUUCCGAGUGUAGAGGUGAAAUUCGUAGAUAUUCGGAAGAACACCAGUGGCGAA